UCCUUAGACGUUCUGGGCCGCACGCGCGCUACACUGACCAGUGCAACAAGCAUCCGUCCUUGGCCGACAGGCCCGGGCAAUCUUUGAACGCUGGUCGUGAUGGGGAUAGACUUUUGCAAUUUUUGGUCUUCAACGAGGAAUUCCUAGUAAACGCAAGUCAUCAACUUGCAUUGAUUACGUCCCUGCCCUUUGUACACACCGCCCGUCGCACCUACCGAUUGAAUGGUCCGGUGAAGCCUCCGGAUUGGCGCGCACCCCGGUGCCGCCGAGAAGUUGGCUAAACCUUACCAUUUAGAGGAAGGUGAAGUCGUAACA
rnacentral:rRNA from 1 species